AGAGUUUGAUUCUGGCUCAGGAUGAACGCUAGCUACAGGCUUAACACAUGCAAGUCGAGGGGCAGCAUUUCAUUUUGCUUGCAAAGUGAAGAUGGCGACCGGCGCACGGGUGAGUAACACGUAUCCAACCUGCCGAUAACUCGGGGAUAGCCUUUCGAAAGAAAGAUUAAUAUCCGAUAGCAUAUCAAUCCCGCAUGAGAUUGAUAUUAAAGAAUUUCGGUUAUCGAUGGGGAUGCGUUCCAUUAGUUUGUUGGCGGGGUAACGGCCCACCAAGACUACGAUGGAUAGGGGUUCUGAGAGGAAGGUCCCCCACAUUGGAACUGAGACACGGUCCAA
rnacentral:rRNA from 1 species